CUGUGGUACUGCAUGCGGAAGUCUGGAGUGGCAGAGAAAUAUGUUAGAAUAAUACAGGACAUGUACGAGGGCAGCAGAACAGCGGUGAGGUGUGCUGUAGGUGUGACAGAUGCAGUCCCACGUCCACCAAUUUAAGGUGGACGUGGGUCUGCAUCAGGGAUCAGCCCUGAGCCCCUUCCUUUUUGCAGUGGUGAUGGAUAGGCUGACAGAUGAGGUUAGACUGGAAUCCCCGUGGACCAUGAUGUUUGCAGAUGACAUUGUGAUCUGCAGUGAAAGCAGGGAGCAGCUGGAGGAACAGUUAGAAAGAUGGAGGCAUGCACUGGAAAGAAGAGGAAUGAAGAUUAGCCGACGUAAAACAGAAUAUAUGUGCAUGAAUGAGAGGGGUGGUGGGGGAAGAGUGAGGCUACAGGGAGAAGAGAUAGCAAGGGUGCAGGACUUUAAAUACUUGGGGUCAACCGUCCAGAGCAAUGGGGAGUGUGGUCAGGAAGUGAAGAAACGGGUCCAAGCAGGUUGGAACGGGUGGAGGAAGGUGUCAGGUGUGUUAUGUGACAGAAGAGUCUCUGCCAGGAUGAAGGUCAAAGUUUAUAAAACAGUGGUGAGGCCAGCCAUGAUGUACGGAUUAGAGACAGUGGGACUGAAGAGACAACAGGAAGCAGACUUGGAGGUGGCAGAAAUGAAGAUGUUGAGGUUCGCUCUCGGAGUGACCAGGUUGACGCGCUGUGGUGACCCCUACAGGACAAGCCAAAAGGAAAAGAAGAAGACUUGUAGACUAAAAAGGAACACAGGGGCCUUACUGAAAUUCUUAGUUGAUACGGGCAUACAGUCAGCAAAGAUAUAUUUUAACUGUCGUCUGAAAAACUACAUAUAUAAAUUCCAAACCCCCCAACCUUCAGACGAAAAACCUAAUAAUGAUACAGAUCUUACGUUUGGGAAUGACAAAUUAUAGCAGGUCCUGGAUCAGUAGUUAUGCUUAACUGACUGUGUCAUUGGCAUCCCUUGGGCAAAAUAUGCUGAGGCAGAUUUUAUCAAAUGGAAGAAAGUCCUUCGAUUUCCAGACUACCCAAAACCCUUCACUUGUUAUUUACAUGAUCUCGUGUUGACACAGACACAGGUUUUUCGGGGAAAGGAAAAGUACUUAGCUGGAGAUUUUAUUCCACCCAAAUUUUUGUGACGUGUCUUGAGCACUUUUUAUGUAUUUACAUUUAGUAAUGUUUUUAAUAUCGGUCUCAAAGAUAAUGAUAAUAUGCAAAUAAUUAUGUUAGUAUAAAGUUGAUAAUGGAUAUUGGGUUGGACCAUAUUGACACUAUCCUGAUAAUGUAUAUAAUGAAAUAACGAUCGAUGCACUUACAAAAUACUGUCUAGAUAUGGUAGACAUGUUUACGUAGGAAUUGAAGUAAGUGGUAGUAGCACAAUUAACCAAAAUUAUUCUCAGACUCCUAUUAUAAUUCUUUGAAAGCUUUCCUCUGACAACAGCUUUCUGACAGAUUUCAAUCUGACCUCAGAACACAUGAUAGCUACCACCCGCAAAUAAAUACUGGGAAGUCAAUUAAAUUAGGUAUAUAUGAGGAUGUGUGUGCCCCAUAUCCUUUUUUUAGAUUGUUUUUGCAGGCACUCCAUUGGACCGGAUCCAUUCGGGUCUACCAAAGCCAGAUCUGCCGAUGGGCGUACAAAUCGUUCAGGUAUUGCACAUUGUCGACUAAUCAAUUUCAGGAAACAAGUCCAAUCAGCAAUCCUAACGCUGGCCAACGGACCCCUGCAUGACAUCAAACCCGGUGAGUACGUGCUGAUUAAGAACAUCCGACGGAAAAUGAAGUGACAUCAGCAGUGGCUGGGGCCUUUCCAAGUCCUCCUUGUGACCCACGCUGCAGUGGAAGUUGCUGAAAGAGCUACGUGGGUUCACGCGUCACACUGCAAGAAGGUCCCAGCACAUCCUAUGGUCCCGACUCCUCCGCUUCCCUCACCUUCUACGACGGAUGACCGUAAAGAGUGGACCAGGGUGCAGAAGGAGGGCAGGUGGAGGCUGAGGCUGCGACCCACCAGAGGGACAUCGCCCGAUCCAGAAGCGACCAAUCAACAAGUGGCCUGCCUAGCUUUGGAGAGUGAUAAGGCCUGGUGGAGGUCUCAACCAGGAGGUGAUCAGUGUACUCAGACCCCGAACUAAGGCCACCAAAUCCUCAAGAAGAUACACCAAGUACUCUCCUGCCUGCCUCUCUGAUCACCUUGGCUGCAGUGGUCCAGUCUUCUGGAAGCUCCUCCCGUCCACGAGAGCCUGUCUCACCUCUUCCUGAAAAGAG